CAUGGUAUAGCUUAACACUAAAGCAUCUCCUUUACACCGAGAUGAUACUCGUGCGAAUCGAGUUACCUUGA
rnacentral:tRNA from 1 species